AUGUCCAGUUAAAUUCGAAUUGUAGAUAAACAAUCAAUGAUUUUUAAAAUAUAAGUCUGUCUCAUGUAAUAUUUGGAACAUACUUAUACUAAAGAUUAUUCAUCAUUUAUCUGAAAAUAAAAUUUUACUGGCGUC
rnacentral:miRNA from 14 species